UUGCCUUCGUCAGAGGCAGCUUCUCCUCUACAGGUUUCCUAAAAUCAGUUCCACUGACAGAUGCAUCUUUUCUGACCCUGGGCCUCAAACUUUCACAGGGACUUAUAAUGAAGCCACCAACUUGCAAUUGAUCUUGUGUUAGCAGGUCUAUUUCUCGUUUUCUCUUUCUUCCACUCUCUGCAGUUGGUUCAGGUUGUACAGAAGUACAUUUGGAAUAAUUCGGCUCUCUCUGCUCCAGUAAAGAGACAUCCAUGUCGUUAUCGCCAUAAGAUGCCAUAGCAGCAUAUAUGUUACUUGCUACAUGGAGUUCUUCAACCGACGUUGAAGUAAAUUCUUCUACCAGUCCAGUACCUAUUGAAACAGCUUUGUUUUGAUUAUCUCUAUCUGACUGAUUUACUUGCCGACACUCAAAAACAGCUUUCUCGAGAUUAUCUCCGCCUUUCUGAAUUUCCAGCCGUCCCAUGGAAACAUCUGUGUCUUUAUUUUCUCCGUCUGUCUGAAUUUCCUGCUUUCUCACAGGGGCAGCUUUCUCUUUAUUAUCUGCAUCUCCGUGAACUUUGUUGUGACCCACGCAAUUCAAGGUAUCCAAUACCUGUGGGACAGCUUUCUCUUUAUUAUCUGCGCCUCUGUGAACUUUGUUGUGACCCUGGCAAUUCAAGGUAUCCGAUACCUCAUUUUCUGUUUCCUUCAGUAUAUGUUUCUCCCUCACAUUUACAUUUUUUCUGUUACCUUGAGCAGAAACUACAGAACCAGAAAAAUUACCAGAAUGACACCUCCCAGCUUCAGCUGCAGGUGAACAAUUGGAAUCAUCCAAAUAACAUCUCUUGUUUUUCUCAAAGUUUUCAUCGCCUACCUUGAUUUCAUGCUGCAGUUCGGGAUCAUGCCAUGUUGUACUACAAACAGUUUCCUUCACUAUCAAUUCAUCAGAAGAGCACAAUAAAGUUUGUGCUGCAACAUUCUCGACAACUGGCAUGGCAGAGAUAAAUGAAUUUGCACAUUG
rnacentral:lncRNA from 1 species